GGCUGGUCCUAAUGCAGUAGUGUUUACAACUAAUUGAUCACAACUAGUUACAGAUUUCUUUGUUUCUUCUGGACUCCCACUGCUUCACUUGACUAGCCUUUA
ensembl:misc_RNA Y_RNA Y RNA